rnacentral:ribozyme from 1 species
UGUGAUAUUUGUGUUUCUGUUUUUUCUUUUCUUCCUUUUUCUUCUA